rnacentral:rRNA from 1 species
UACGGGGGGGGCAAGCGUUGUUCGGAAUUACUGGGCGUAAAGGGCUCGUAGGCGGCCAACUAAGUCGGAUGUGAAAUCCCCAGGCUCAACCUGGGAACUGCAUCCGAUACUGGAUGGCUUGAAUCCGGGAGAGGGAUGCAGAAUUCCAGGUGUAGCGGUGAAAUGCGUAGAUAUAGGAAGGAACACCAGUGGCGAAGGCGACCACCUGGACUGAUACUGACACUGAGGUGCGAAAGCGUGGGGAGCAAACAGG